CAGUCGCCGCGGGAAUACGUAUGUCACAAGCGUUAUCCGGAUUUAUUGGGCGUAAAGCGCGUCUAGGUGGUUAUAUAAGUCUGAUGUGAAUAUGCAGGGCUCAACUCUGUAUUGCGUUGGAAACUGUGUAACUAGAGUACUGGAGAGGUAAGCGGAACUACAAGUGUAGAGGUGAAAUUCGUAGAUAUUUGUAGGAAUGCCGAUGGGGAAGCCAGCUUACUGGACAGAUACUGACGCUGAAGCGCGAAAGCGUGGGUAGCAAACAGGAUUAGAUACCCCGGUAGUCCCUGUCUCUUAUACC
rnacentral:rRNA from 1 species